GAAAGAAGUGGUGACCCUAUAAGAGAGAGCUUCUCUGUUAAUAUUGAUCCGAUAGAAGACAUCAGUUUCCUUGGAAAUGAGGUGGAAGCCAUGUGCAAGGGCCUGAAAGCAUACUGGGCCAUCCCAAGACAGGAAGAAGGAAGCAGACAUCAUCGUGAAAAGCGACAGACUGGAGAUGAACCUGGUACUCAUACUACUACUACUACCACUACUACCACCACUAAUACUCCUACUACUACUACUCCUGAAGAUAAUGCCUUUCAUCCUAACGUGACAAUUCACUGCCCCCUGCCAAAGUAUGGAUUCCUGUUUUGUAAUCAAGACACAGAAACACAAUGCACCUAUGAUUGCUGUGAAAGUUAUCUAUGUUACCCUGUUUUCUUUGGCCCCUUCUAUUACUACAAUUGUUAUUAUAAUGAUUGCACCCUGACUGUAACUAAAGACCCAUGUCACUGUGUGUUCAGGUCUCAGUUCAUGUUCCCUCCAUCAGAAGAUGAAUGAGAGGCUAAAGAACAACCCCGUACACUUACACAAGACAAAAAGACAGCAAGAAUCCUUUUAAAUUUCUUGUUUACAUUUUCUAUCACAGUAGUAAUCAAUCCCAGGCUCCCACUAAGGCUUUAUCUAACAUUUAGGCAAAAUGGAAAAUUUGAGACACUAUGAACUUUUCUGAUGCAUUUUUCUUCCAUAAAAGUGAAUAAUGUGUGCACACAAAGAAAUAUGUAUGACAGGAAUUUUCAGAAUUUUCAUAUUAUUCUUAACUGCUUUUCUCCACCUUCAGUUGAUCAUUCAUUGAAAUAUCCUUAUACAAAAAAAACAUUAAAGUGAUUUAUUGAUGACGAUGUCACAUAAAGUUGAGAUAACCAUUGUGGUUAACUUUAAGAGAAAAUGAGCUUCUAAAAAGUUUUGUCAAGGAUCUGAUAUGGAUUAUAAAUGGAGGGUUAAAAGUCGAGAUGACACUGUCUUAUUUUAAUGAUCACGAAUGCUACUUGUAACAUCAUGAACAUAGUGAAUGUCCUAGAAUGUGCAUGAAUCAAAUAACCUUGUUUACGUCUGUUAGGCGGAAAAUCAAGGCAAUGUAUUUGUUAUUUAUAAUGGCAAUUUAAUUUGGUUUUUCAUCAAUUUUAGAAUAUUGCUGCCUUUUUAAUUUGGGAAAUUUAAUAACUGACAAAAAAACACAAUUAGACCUAAACCAAAUGGAAUUAUAAAAGUAAUGUGUUAACUGGCACAAAAAAUAACUCAUUCAUGGAACUUCAUAUACAUUAUUUACUCUUGAAGAUUUUAGCAGAUAUUCAAACGUUGUAUUCUUCAGAUUUGCAAAAUCGGACACAAUAAUAUGGAAUAGGCAGGACCUCCAUACUAAUUUGUAACUGAGUAUAUUUGUGGUAUAUGUUCAUGGAAUAACAUUUGAACAUGUUAAUGCAAUAAAAAGAGGUACAAGCACUUCUGACAAG
rnacentral:misc_RNA from 1 species